UUUGUCAAGUCAAAACACGAAUCAGCUCAAUAGCUUAGGAACCUGUCAUGGCUGCAGCCUGCAAGCAUUAGUUAGAUUCAUGAGACAGAAGGAACAACAUGAAAUGGAACUUUCUCCAAAAUGUAGGAUGCAUUUGAGAUGCCAUGCCAAUUGCCAAGCAACAGUUUUUCAGCUCAAAAAAAAAACAUUUGAUUGUCAUUUUGAGUUUGCCAG
rnacentral:misc_RNA from 1 species